UACAGAGGGUGCAAGCGUUGUUCGGAAUUAUUGGGCGUAAAGGGCGCGUAGGCGGUGCCACAAGUCACCUGUGAAAUCUCCGGGCUUAACUCGGAGCCUGCAGGCGAAACUGUGGUGCUGGAGUGUGGGAGAGGUGCGUGGAAUUCCCUGUGUAGCGGUGAAAUGCGUAGAGAUAGGGGAGAACACUCGUGGCGAAGGCGGCCAGCUAGACCAGUUCUGACACUGAGGCGCGAUAGCGUGGGGAGCAAACAGG
rnacentral:rRNA from 1 species